CUACGGGUCGCUCCAGUGGGGAAUAUUGCACAAUGGAGGAAACUCUGAUGCAGCAACGCCGCGUGGAGGAUGACACUUUUCGGAGCGUAAACUCCUUUUAUAUAGGAAGAUAAUGACGGUACUAUAUGAAUAAGCACCGGCUAACUCCGUGCCAGCAGCCGCGGUAAUACGGAGGGUGCAAGCGUUACUCGGAAUCACUGGCGUAAAGAGCGUGUAGGCGGAUAGAUAAGUCAGGAGUGAAAUCCUAUGGCUCAACCAUAGAACUGCUCUUGAAACUGUCUAUCUAGAAUAUGGGAGAGGUAGAUGGAAUUUCUGGUGUAGGGGUAAAAUCCGUAGAGAUCAGAAGGAAUACCGAUUGCGAAGGCGAUCUACUGGAACAUUAUUGACGCUGAGACGCGAAAGCGUGGGGAGCAAACAGGAUUAGAUACCCCCGUAGUC
rnacentral:rRNA from 1 species